AGCAACAAAUGCCCUGCUUCCAGGAAAAGCCUCUAAGCAUCAGGUAACAUCAAAUCGUACCCCAAACCGACACAGGUGGUCAGGUAGAGAAUACCAAGGCGCUUGAGAGAACUCGGGUGAAGGAACUAGGCAAAAUGGUGCCGUAACUUCGGGAGAAGGCACGCUGACAUGUAGGUGAAGUGAUUUACUCAUGGAGCUGAAGUCAGUCGAAGAUACCAGCUGGCUGCAACUGUUUAUUAAAAACACAGCACUGUGCAAACACGAAAGUGGACGUAUACGGUGUGACGCCUGCCCGGUGCCGGAAGGUUAAUUGAUGGGGUCAGCGCAAGCGAAGCUCCUGAUCGAAGCCCCGGUAAACGGCGGCCGUAACUAUAACGGUCCUAAGGUAGCGAAAUUCCUUGUCGGGUAAGUUCCGACCUGCACGAAUGGCGUAAUGAUGGCCAGGCUGUCUCCACCCGAGACUCAGUGAAAUUGAACUCGCUGUGAAGAUGCAGUGUACCCGCGGCAAGACGGAAAGACCCCGUGAACCUUUACUAUAGCUUGACACUGAACAUUGAGCCUUGAUGUGUAGGAUAGGUGGGAGGCUUUGAAGUGUGGACGCCAGUCUGCAUGGAGCCGACCUUGAAAUACCACCCUUUAAUGUUUGAUGUUCUAACGUGGACCCGUAAUCCGGGUUGCGGACAGUGUCUGGUGGGUAGUUUGACUGGGGCGGUCUCCUCCUAAAGAGUAACGGAGGAGCACGAAGGUUGGCUAAUCCUGGUCGGACAUCAGGAGGUUAGUGCAAUGGCAUAAGCCAGCUUGACUGCGAGCGUGACGGCGCGAGCAGGUGCGAAAGCAGGUCAUAGUGAUCCGGUGGUUCUGAAUGGAAGGGCCAUCGCUCAACGGAUAAAAGGUACUCCGGGGAUAACAGGCUGAUACCGCCCAAGAGUUCAUAUCGACGGCGGUGUUUGGCACCUCGAUGUCGGCUCAUCACAUCCUGGGGCUGAAGUAGGUCCCAAGGGUAUGGCUGUUCGCCAUUUAAAGUGGUACGCGAGCUGGGUUUAGAACGUCGUGAGACAGUUCGGUCCCUAUCUGCCGUGGGCGCUGGAGAACUGAGGGGGGCUGCUCCUAGUACGAGAGGACCGGAGUGGACGCAUCACUGGUGUUCGGGUUGUCAUGCCAAUGGCACUGCCCGGUAGCUAAAUGCGGAAGAGAUAAGUGCUGAAAGCAUCUAAGCACGAAACUUGCCCCGAGAUGAGUUCUCCCUGAGACUUUAGGUCUCCUGAAGGAACGUUGAAGACGACGACGUUGAUAGGCCGGGUGUGUAAGCGCAGCGAUGCGUUGAGCUAACCGGUACUAAUGAACCGUGAGGCUUAACCUUACA
rnacentral:rRNA from 2 species